rnacentral:rRNA from 1 species
AUUGAACGCUGGCGGCAGGCCUAACACAUGCAAGUCGAGCGGAGCGGCGGACGGGCGAGCAUUGCCUAGGCACCUGCCUGGUAGUGGGGGAUAACGUCCGGAAACGGGCGCUAAUACCGUAUACUCUCUGCUGUGCAUGGGUCGGGUUAGCUCGUUGUUGUGGUAAAGGCCUAUCAAGGCGCCGCUCCGUAACUGUUGUGAGAGGAUGAUCAGUCACACUGGAACGGAGACACGGUCCAGACUCCUACGGGAGGCAGCAGUGGGGAAUGUUGGACAAUUGGCGAAAGCCUGGUCCAGCCAUGCCGCGUGUGUGAAGAAGGUCUUCGUAUUGUGAAGCACUUUAAGUUGGAAGGCGUUACCAACAGAAUAAGCACCGGCUAACUUCGUGCCAGCCGCCGCGGUAAUAC